rnacentral:rRNA from 1 species
AUGGCGGUCGCUCAAAUUGAUUCAGUUGCAUGCUAUCUCGAGGAGCCAUCUUCACGUACACAUCACCAACCUCAUGAAGUUUCAGGGUUCAGUGUUGAGCUAGUACCAUUACCAUUCAGCGAUGUGAGUUCUCCUCAAGUUCCUUAUCGUCAGUCGAAUUCCAUGGACGAGUCUUUCUGUUGUUUGCCGGGUGCAAAGCUGCAGUUUGGGCACAAUAAACUACAGAUUAUGAGCAUGUCAGUACAAUGGCACUUUCUGAGCCAAGAGAAAUUAAAGGGGAGUGGUCGUUUUGAUAGUGAAUUCAGACCUGAACAAGUAGUUGAUGUUUCAAAAACAAGAAUUCAGUUUGCCGAGCUAAUCAGCCUGGAGUGUUGCUCCUUCAAGUGUGAACCAAAUUGCAUACCAUUUGUACUCUGGUGGAAAUACAAGUGUCUUCUUCUUUUGGUGGGAAUUCAACACAUGAUUCUAGUUCAUUUGUACUUUUUGCACAAGAUGACCAGUACUGAAGCUUUGGAAAAAGGUGAUUGUCAGCAUCUUAUAUCAACCAAUUGUGUUCCAGCAUAUCUGAAAUCAGAUGAAGUCUGUGUUGCUGCUAUUUGCAAGUUUGAUCAGGGAAAUUCUCAGGAAUGGGCAUUGAUACUUUGUUUCAAUCAGCGACCACUUCUUGUUUGUUCAGGUGCAUUGGAAUCUUUCUGA